rnacentral:rRNA from 1 species
UACGUAGGUGGCAAGCGUUGUCCGGAUUUACUGGGCGUAAAGAGCGCGCAGGCGGUCGGCCAAGUCGAGUGUGAAAGCCCCCGGCUCAACUGGGGAGGGUCAUUCGAUACUGGUCGACUCGAAGGCAGGAGAGGGAAGCGGAAUUCCCGGUGUAGUGGUGAAAUGCGUAGAUAUCGGGAGGAACACCAGUGGCGAAGGCGGCUUCCUGGCCUGUUCUUGACGCUGAGGCGCGAAAGCUAGGGGAGCAAGCGGG